UGGGGGCUGUGACUUUGAGCUGGCCUGGGUGGGGCGUCAGGGGAGGACUGAAGUUGGUCUGGGGCCAAGGUGGCUGGGAAUAAGGUGAUCAGUGUGGUCAUGAUUUUAGCCCUGAAAAAUCCUGUGUCCUAGCCCUGGGUGGAAUGGAACAGACAGUUUCCUUGGAGAGAUACUGGUGAGGGACCAGAAGUGACUGUCUUUGUGGAAGGACUUGGCAUGCAUCAGACCUGUCUGGCCCGUGGGGGUUGGUGCUUGAGGGGCUGCUGAGGCAGGAACUCCCAGAGGAUCAUGGGAAAACAUGGGUCUUCAGGGGGCACCUUGAAAUCCUGUAGGGACUAGCCUGGGAGUCAAACACCAAAUUAUGUGUGGGACCAAGGCUCAAACUGGGCCACCAGCGAGGCCUGGCACCAUGGGGGAAGGACUUUCUCCAGCUGAGGACUCCACUACAGGAGGCUUUUGAGAAGCAGAGAAGAAGUUGUAGACACCUGGACUUGAGCUGCAGGAAUGAGGAUGUGAUGGGUGGCCCCUGAACAGCUCUCUUGGGGUCUGAGGAGGCAGGAGGAAAAUACUGAGGACAUUCCAGUAGCAAGACAGAGUUCUCUCAGGAUCCUGACCUUGGAAAGCCACCCUGCCAGCCCCAGACUGCCUGCCU